rnacentral:lncRNA from 1 species
AUCUUGCAAAAAAUAGCUCUCUUGUUGCCUGUGUAUCAGAUGCCUUAAAAUAAGAGUCUUUGCUGUUGUGACAUGAACCCAAGCAUAAUCCACAUGCAUCUCACUCCUGUGAAAUGAACACCUUGUUUGGAGAAGUAGCAGCUUAUUUCCAGCUUGAGGAACCCUGCAGUGCUGACUUCUCUUCCAUAUUCCAAGAGAAAGGACAGACAAACCCAGUCUAUGCCUCUUAGCAUCUGUCAUGUUUCCUGUGUUAGAACCCAGACAUUUGCUGGGGAAAUAAAAAACCCCUAAGGCUCAAUCAAGGUGUAAACAUGGAAACAUAGGAAAAUCAGUUGAAAAUCCAAUUGGAAGCUGGAUCUAAAUGCUCAACUCACCCUAUGGAAGAGGCUUGUGCCUUAAAGCUGAGUUCUGAGAGAAAACAGCAUUAGAGCCACAAGAUGCUGAGAAAAUCCAUUUAAAGGGUCAUGAUGUGGAUCAUGGCUUUAAAUGUGUUUAUUGUCACAUGACUGAGUAGAUCUUAAUGGAAAAUCAUUGAAAAUCACACAUGUGGAUAAAAGAAACCUUCCAGUGCUUCAUCUGUAAGAAUGCUUUUCUAUCACUUUAUAAAGUGCCUGGAAAGUGCACAGAAACAUCCCUCAGAGGAAACCUCAUCUCAGUGCACAUCAUCUGAAACUGAGCAGAUAAGCAAUUUUCAAGUAGCUUGCUUGGCAUUGUCAGGACAUGGUUAUGUGCCCACACAGUGAUUUUACCAAUUAACAUAUUUGCUCUGGUUUUAAGCUACUGCAACAAACCAUGGCUUUUAAUACAGCUAAGGAAUGGAUCAAGGUCUGCAAGCAUCUGUGCAAGCACAGGUAUUUUGAUUCCAAAAAUGAAACAAAAAACUUGUCGAGUGUUGAAAAGAAAACAAAAUCUCAAAAAAAAGAAGAAAUUAAGAGAGCUCUCAAUACAGGUCAAAAAGCCAAGCACUCAUCUGUGUGGACCCUUCAGAGUUCCUGGCUUCAGCUCCCUCACAACAUCCUUACAUGUGUUGGUGGUAUCUUGACUAAACCAUGCUGGUGCACACUGAAUUGGAGAGUCAGUUAGUUUACUUAGCUUAUUUCUUAAAUGGCAAUCCAGAGAAGAGUUGAAGGAGCAUAUGGAAAAUUUCAGAGCUGCUACCACUGUUUUGUCUUCAUUUUGGGAUGAAGUAUUCAAAACCAGACAUCCAUUGAAAGGACAUCACAAACAAAUCUAUUGUGAAGAAACAACAAACCCACAAAUGAAAGAGAAUAAAAAAGCCUGAAGAUAAUCCUGUGUGUUUCA